rnacentral:tRNA from 2 species
GCGCCCGUAGCUCAGUCGGAUAGAGCACCAGAUUCCUAAUCUGGGGGCCGCAGGUUCGAAUCCUGCCGGGCGCGCCA